rnacentral:rRNA from 1 species
GCCGUCUCAGUUCGGAUUGCACUCUGCAACUCGAGUGCAUGAAGUCGGAAUCGCUAGUAAUCGCGGAUCAGCAUGCCGCGGUGAAUACGUUCCCGGGCCUUGUACACACCGCCCGUCACGUCAUGAAAGCUGGUAACACCUGAAGUCGCUUCGCCAACCCUUCGGGGAGGUAGGUGCCGAGGGUGGGACUAGUGAUUGGGACGAAGUCGUAACAAGGUAGCUGUACCGGAAGGUGCGGCUGGAUCACCUCCUUU